UGGAGGGUCUUUCUCACCAUCUGCUCCUGAGGACUACUUUCCUCUUCCUUAUGGCCACCAUACAGUUGCUGAGAUGAGUACAACUUUGUACACUUUAUACUGGCAUUAGUAUUAACAUUAGUUUUGCUGUUUCAUUUAAUCUAUUCUCAUUUCAACCUAUGGGUCUCCUCUCCUUUUACUGAUCCCUCUUCUCAACUGGGGAGAAGUAAUCAGGUGGUAGAGUAGCUGGUAUAGUUUAGCCCUGGAUAUUGGCUGAAUGGUGUCAUAGAAGCUCCCAUUGUUCCUUAUAAGCCCUUUUUAUCCUGAAUCUGUUUGAUUGUGACUGUGUUUAAUCCUGAUCAGGAACUAGCAGUAACCUGCCUGCUUAUUUAGGGGUUGGUAAGAAGCAGAGCUGCAAACUUUCAUGCUUACAUAAAAUUAUCUUUGUCUGUGGAGAAUGAAUCCAAGGGGAGGGAACAUUACUAAUAAUUACACUGCUAAGAGAUUUGUGAAUACUUUCUGUUGAACUACUGGAGGAGCUACUAAGAAAUUCCAUUUAGUGCGUAGACAGAGGAUGGUUCCAACUCACUCCAUCCAAGGAAUAAAAGUAUUUCUAAAUAUAGAGUUGAGGUAUGCUAAACCCUUCAAGAGGGAUGUUAAAACAGGUUAUAAAUCUAAAGUUACAAAUCCCAGGGAAUUAAUGGAAAAGGAAGCUCUGAGUACAAAUUUUGGGACAAGCAAUACAACAAAGAAUAGGUUAUGAACAGCAGAAAGAAUUUGCAAUUAGAGAAUCCAGUGCAGUUAUUCCCCAUAGAGAAAAACGGCAAAAUCGAAGUCAGGAGAUGCACCACACACAGGUGUAAGACAGAGAGCACAAUUCUUUCUGGGAGCUUCCUUAAGCCUCUUGGUUUUGCAGCACACAUUUAUCAAUCAAGAGCUCCCCGUUGUGGUGAAAACGAAACGCGAAACGCAGCUAAAGUCUCUGCUUUUCGUUUAGCUUCUUGCUAAGUCAAGGGACAGUUGAUCUUUUGGCAGUCUGCUCUAAAGUUUGUGCCACUGGUGAAGUUGUCACUGGGUGCACCAUUUCUAGCUACUUAAGGUUGAAACACACAUAGGUGUAGGACUGCAAGCACUUCAGGGACAUGAACAGCAGAAGUGGAAAUGCUGAUGGUGUCACACAGCUGGAACAAAGGCACUUGGGUACCUCUGUGUGAAAAGACACAGGAAGUACUUGUACUUUCACAUAACUUAGCGGUGACAAUAUUAACUUCUGAUGCAGAAAGGCUCCCUCAACCCUCCUAUCUUUUUGCAUCACCUUUUCAGUUUUCUGUCUAAGACGAACUGGGGAAGCAGUGCUGCUUUUGUCCGUAUCUUCUCUCUGCCCUGAUGGGUGAUAUUUCAGGAACACUCAGGACAAACUCAAAGCUGCUGGCGACCUCCCUGCUCAAGACAAGUUUCCAAUAGGCCUGACAGAUCUACAGAAGGCAGAAUGCCAAACAUCUCAUUACUGGGGGCUUCUGAACAGGAGGAAAGAAAAGCUUACAUCUGUGUCUUGGCCAAGAGGAGCACUGUGGACAGAAGGCUCUGUGUUCUUUCCUUGGCAGCCUUAGCCACUUUAAGGGAGCUACUGGAGUAGCAGGAAGGAAAAUGGUUUCUGCUGUGGUCAUGGUGUCAUGUAAAUGAACAUGAGAAAGAGAAGACCAGAAGAUGGAACUAGUAGAGGAGAGAAAUAAACUCAGGAGCACCAGAGAGUUACUGAAGGCCGAACAGCAGGAUAUUCCUUGUCUUGCAUGUCAAAAGAACUUGACAUGGUGGGAAAACUGGACACAUAUCAUAUGGCUGAGAGCCUAUGCUG